UUCCGGUUGAUCCUGCCGGACCUGACUGCUAUCGGAUUGAUACUAAGCCAUGCGAGUCUUUGCAGUAAUGCAAGGCAUACGGCUCAGUAACACGUAGUCAACUUACCCUAUGGACGAGGAUAAUCUCGGGAAACUGAGCAUAAUACUCGAUAGAUCAUAAUGCCUGGAAUGGUUUAUGGUUGAAAUGAUUCGUCGCCAUAGGAUGGGACUGCGGCCUAUCAGCUUGUUGGUGAGGUAAUGGCCCACCAAGGCGAUUACAGGUACGGGCUCUGAGAGGAGAAGCCCGGAGAUGGGUACUGAGACAAGGACCCAGGCCCUAUGGGGCGCAGCAGGCGAGAAAACUUUGCAAUGUGCGAAAGCACGACAAGGUUAAUCCGAGUGAUUUCUGCUAAAGAAAUCUUUUGCAAGUCAUAACACCACUAGUGAAUAAGGGGUGGGCAAGUUCUGGUGUCAGCCGCCGCGGUAAAACCAGCACCUCAAGUGGUCAGGAGGAUUAUUGGGCCUAAAGCAUCCGUAGCCGGCUCUGUAAGUUUUCGGUUAAAUCUAUGUGCUCAACGCAUAGGCUGCCGAAAAUACUGCAUAGCUAGGGAGUGGGAGAGGUAGACGGUACUCGGUAGGAAGGGGUAAAAUCCUUUGAUCUAUCGAUGACCACCUGUGGCGAAGGCGGUCUACCAGAACACGUUCGACGGUGAGGGAUGAAAGCUGGGGGAGCAAACCGGAUUAGAUACCCGGGUAGUCCCAGCUGUAAACGAUGCAGACUCGAUGAUGCAUUGGCAUAUAGCCAGUGCAGUGUCGCAGGGAAGCCGUUAAGUCUGCCGCCUGGGAAGUACGUACGCAAGUAUGAAACUUAAAGGAAUUGGCGGGGGAGCACCACAAGGGGUGAAGCCUGCGGUUCAAUUGGAGUCAACGCCGGG
rnacentral:rRNA from 1 species